rnacentral:rRNA from 1 species
AAGCGGUGGAGCAUGUGGUUUAAUUCGAUGAUACGCGAGGAACCGUUACCUGGGCUCAAAUGUAUGUUGACGUAUUCUGAAAGGGAGUACUUCUUCGGACAAUAUACAAGGUGCUGCAUGGUUGUCGUCAGCUCGUGCCGUGAGGUGUCGGGUUAAGUCCCAUAACGAGCGCAACCCUUGCCUUUAGUUGCCAGCAGUUCGGCUGGGCACUCUAAAGGGACUGCCGGUGUUAAACCGGAGGAAGGUGGGGAUGACGUCAAGUCCUCAUGGCCUUUAUGACCAGGGCUACACACGUACUACAAUGGCCGAUACAAAGGGCAGCGACACUGCGAGGUGAAGCCAAUCCCGUAAAAUCGGUCUCAGUCCGGAUUGGAGUCUGCAACUCGACUCCAUGAAGUUGGAAUCGCUAGUAAUCGUGGAUCAGCAUGCCACGGUGAAUACGUUCCCGGGCCUU